AGAACGGCCCCGAGCUCUCUGCUCGGGCAUGGUCAUCCCACAGCACAUGGCACGGGAUUGUGUGCGGACGGGGCUGGAGUGUCCCCAGUGAGGAGACUCCAGAGCCUCUCUGGUCAAUCAACCCGCACAGUGAAGAAACAAAUUCUGCCUCAUGCCUCGGGGAGCUGCCUGUGUUCCUGUCUAGGUGAUAUCAGCCUCCCAAGAAAAGAGCUGUUCCAGGAGGAAAAGGAUGCUGAGCUAAGACAUGCAGGUGCAGUCAGGCAAAACUAUCCAGGCUGGGCUGGUGGAAGGUGGAAGGACUGGAACGAAAUAGGAUUUAAGGUCCCUCCCAACACAAACCAGUCCAGGAUUCUGGGAUUUCCUGGGAUUCUACAUCCAGAGGUACAAACCAAUUCAGAUCUGUGCACAUCAAGUGAAAGGCAAGACUGAGACCCACCUGAUGUUCCCAGGUAUUUGAGCUCUUCAGGGAAGUGAUGGAUUAAUAAAAGAGAAAUAAACAAUUCACUGUUUCCUGCAGGGGGACGUGGGACCAUCAGCUGCUGCACAUUCCAUCAGAAUAAUGGAUUACCAUCACACCUCAUGUCAGCCACACAAACAAAGCCAUUCCCUUUUGUCCCUGCUCUUCCUGCUGCUCAUUUUGUUUCAUUAAGACACUGAGAUUUUGGAUCCAAAAGUUGCAGAUUUCAUUUUCAACACCAAUAAUUCAUUUGGUGAUGAUCACCCAGCUCACCUCACAAUACACACUGCAUCCAAAAAACACCAGAGGUGCCAAAAGGAGUUCCUUUAUCCCUUUUUUCCCUACAAAUUCCAAUAUUUUGGCAUUCUCAGUGCACCAUUCCAUGACAUGCCCAACCUCUUCCAUCCAGGCACAAAAGGUCUCUGCCAAACAUUCCAAGUGGAACCUGCUGCCUGUGAAUUUGCUGCUCCUGAGUUUGGGGAUGAUGGAUUCUAUCAGGAUCAGC